rnacentral:rRNA from 1 species
GAACCUUCGGGUUAGUGGCGGACGGGUGAGUAACGCGUGGGAAUCUGCCCUCAGGAGGGGGAUAACGGUUGGAAACGACCGCUAAUACCCCAUAUGCCGAGAGGUGAAACGAAUUUCGCCUGAGGAUGAGCCCGCGUCUGAUUAGCUAGUUGGUGGGGUAAAGGCCUACCAAGGCAUCGAUCAGUAGCUGGUCUGAGAGGAUGAUCAGCCACACUGGGACUGAGACACGGCCCAGACUCC